CACGAACGCUGGCGGCAGGCUUAACACAUGCAAGUCGAGCGCCCCGCAAGGGGAGCGGCAGACGGGUGAGUAACGCGUGGGAAUCUACCCAUCUCUACGGAAUAACGCACGGAAACGUGUGCUAAUAACGUAUACGUCCUUCGGGAGGAAGAUUUAUCGGAGAUGGAUGAGCCCGCGUUGGAUUAGCUAGUUGGUGGGGUAAAGGCCUACCAAGGGGAAGAUCCAUAGCUGGUCUGAGAGGAUGAUCAGCCACACUGGGGCUGAGACACGGCCCAGACUACUCCGGGAGGCAGCAGUGGCGAAUAUUGGACAAUGGGCGUAAGCCUGAUCCAGCCAUGCCGCGUGAGUGAUGAAGGCCCUAGGGUUGUAAAGCUCUUUCACCGGUGAAGAUAAUGACGGUAACCGGAGAAGAAGCCCCGGCUAACUUCGUGCCAGCCGCCGCCGUAACAC
rnacentral:rRNA from 1 species